GCUACUACCGAUUGAAUGGUUUAGUGAGGACUCCUGAUUGGCGCCGCCGCCCCGGCAACGGAGCAGCGGACUGCCGAAAAGUUGUCCAAACUUGAUCAUUUAGAGGAAGUAAAAGUCGUAACAAGGUUUCCGUAGGUGAACCUGCAGAAGGACA
rnacentral:misc_RNA from 1 species